rnacentral:rRNA from 1 species
CCUACGGGAGGCAGCAGUGGGGGAUAUUGCACAAUGGGCGAAACCCUGACGCAGCGACGCCGCGUGGGUGAAGAAGCGCCUCGGCGCGUAAAGCCCUGUUAGCAGGGAAGAAAAUGACGGUAGCUGAAGAAGAAGCCCCGGCUACCUACGUGCCAGCAGCCGCGGUAAUACGUAGGGGGCAAGCGUCAUCCGGAUUUACUGGGUGUAAAGGGGGCGCAGACGGCGAUGCAAGCCAGGAGUGAAAGCCCGGGGGCCAACCCCGGGACUGCUCUUGGAACUGCGUGGUUGGUGUGCAGGGGGGGCAGGAGGGAUUGCUGGGGUAGCGGGGGAAUGCGUAGAUAACAGGAGGAACACC